rnacentral:rRNA from 1 species
CCUUUAGAAUGGCAUUCAUUCUUUGGUAAAGCUCAGGCGGUACAGGAUGGGCGUGCGUCUGAUUAGGUAGUUGGUAUGGGUAACGGCCUACCAAGCCUGCGAUCAGUAGACUGGCGUGAGAGCGCGACCAGCCCACACUGGAAACUGAGACACGGGUCCAGACUCCUACGGGAAGGCAGCAGUAGGGAAUAUUGGGGCAAAUGGGCGCCAAGCCUGACCCAGCCAUGCCGCGUGAAGGAUUAAGGCCCUCUGGGUUGUAAACUUCUUUUAUCAGGGAAGAAACCUCUCGAUUCAUCGAGUAGCUGACGGUACCUGAGGAAUAAGCACCGGCUAACUCCGUG